rnacentral:rRNA from 1 species
UACGUAGGGGGCGAGCGUUGUCCGAAGUUACUGGGCGUAAAGAGUACGUAGGUGGCUUGUUAAGAUACAUCUGAAAGGUGACAGCUCAACUGUCAAUGGUGGUGUAAGACUGGCAGGCUUGAGGCAAGCAGAAGAGUGUGGAACUCCGAGUGUAGCGGUGGAAUGCGUAGAGAUUCGGAAGAACACCCAUGGCGAAGGCAGCACUCUGGGCGUGAACCGCAAGGUGAACCUGACACUGAGGUACGAAAGCCAGGGGAGCGAACGGG